CCACCUCAAAGGACUGCUGGGAGCCUCAAAAAUUUACAAAUUUGUGAAUUGUAUGUGACUGUCUGAUGCCGGGGAGCAGCAAGGAGCUUUUGGUGAUUGGAGUGCGGUUUAAGUGACUGGCACUGGUGGUUACUGCUGGCCCCAGGGAGUGUGAGGCUAGCAGGAUGACCCAGAUUUCCCAAACCAGGCCAGGGCUCUUUCCAGUGAACCAAGGAUGAUGUGAAGAUGCAGGAGGUGGCAG
rnacentral:lncRNA from 10 species